CGAACGCCGGCGGCGUGCUUAACACAUGCAAGUCGAACGCUGAAGCUUGGUGCUUGCACUGGGUGGAUGAGUGGCGAACGGGUGAGUAAUACGUGAGUAACCUGCCCUUGACUCUGGGAUAAGCCUGGGAAACUGGGUCUAAUACUGGAUACGACAUGUCACCGCAUGGUGGUGUGUGGAAAGGGUUUUACUGGUUUUGGAUGGGCUCACGGCCUAUCAGCUUGUUGGUGGGGUAAUGGCUCACCAAGGCGACGACGGGUAGCCGGCCUGAGAGGGUGACCGGCCACACUGGGACUGAGACACGGCCCAGACUCCUACGGGAGGCAGCAGUGGGGAAUAUUGCACAAUGGGCGGAAGCCUGAUGCAGCGACGCCGCGUGAGGGAUGACGGCCUUCGGGUUGUAAACCUCUUUCAGCACGGAAGAAGCGAAAGUGACGGUACGUGCAGAAGAAGCGCCGGCUAACUACGUG
rnacentral:rRNA from 1 species